UACAGAGGUCUCAAGCGUUGUUCGGAUUCAUUGGGCGUAAAGGGUGCGUAGGUGGCGUCGUAAAGUCGGGGUGUGAAAUUUCGGAGCUUAACUCCGAAACUGCAUUCGAUACUGCGGUGCUUGAGGACUGGAGAGGAGACUGGAAUUUACGGUGUAGCAGUGAAAUGCGUAGAGAUCGUAAGGAAGACCAGUGGCGAAGGCGGGUCUCUGGACAGUUCCUGACACUGGAGGCACGAAGGCCAGGGGGAGCAAAACGGGG
rnacentral:rRNA from 1 species